rnacentral:lncRNA from 1 species
UUUUAUGGAACAUAACUAUCCACGUUAUCUUUUUUUAAUUAUAAAAAUAAAAUAAAAAAGAAAAAAGAAAACCAACGCAUGUGCUAAGAGGCUAGUGAGAAAGAAAGAGAGAAAUGGAUGGGUUGGGAGGGGACGGUGAUGAGAGGAGAUGGGGAACAGGCUGUUGGGUUGGGUACAAUACAAGAGGGGCUAGGUUUUUUUGUUUGUUUUUGUUUUUCUCUCUCUCUCUCUCUUUCUCUGUUUUUUCUCUAUUUUUUGCUAUUAUUUAAUAAUUUUUUCCUUCAAAAUUACGAAUUUACCCCAAAAAAUCUGUCAUAUUUCCUCACCCACCUUAUCUUCUCACCCAUCAUGUAAAUUUGAAAAAAUAUAAUCCUAUCUUUCCGCCUUAUUCUUAAAAUACCCUUUAAUUAU